CUUUUGUUAAGUUUAAUUCGCUUAAGAAAAAAGGGAGGGCAAGCCUGGUGUCAGCCGCCGCGGUAAUACCAGCUCCCUGAGUGGUCGGGGUGUUUAUUGGGCCUAAAGCAUCCGUAGCUUGUUUUAUGAGUCUUUCGUUAAAUCUGACGGCUUAACCGUUAGGCUGCGUGAGAUACCGUAAAACUAGGAGGCGGGAGAGGCUGAUGGUACUCCAAGGGUAGGGGUAAAAUCCACUGAUCCAUGGAAGACCACCAAUGGCGAAGGCGGUCAGCCAGAACGCGCUCGACGGUGAGGGAUGAAAGCUGGGGGAGCGAACCGGAUUAGAUACCCGGGUAGUCCCAGCUGUAAACGAUGCGAGCUAGGUGAUGGAGUGAUUAUGUAUUACUUCAGUGCCACAGGGAAGCCGUUAAGCUCGCCGCCUGGGGAGUACGAUCGCAAGAUUGAAACUUAAAGGAA
rnacentral:rRNA from 1 species